rnacentral:rRNA from 1 species
AUUGAACGCUGGCGGCAGGCUUAACACAUGCAAGUCGAACGGUAGCACGAAGGAGCUUGCUCCUUGGGUGACGAGUGGCGGACGGGUGAGUAAUGCUUGGGAAUCUGGCUUAUGGAGGGGGAUAACUACGGGAAACUGUAGCUAAUACCGCGUAACAUCUUCGGAUUAAAGUGUGGGACCGCAAGGCCACAUGCCAUGAGAUGAGCCCAAGUGGGAUUAGGUAGUUGGUGGGGUAAAGGCCUACCAAGCCGACGAUCUCUAGCUGGUCUGAGAGGAUGACCAGCCACACUGGAACUGAGACACGGUCCAGACUCCUACGGGAGGCAGCAGUGGGGAAUAUUGCACAAUGGGGGGAACCCUGAUGCAGCCAUGCCGCGUGAAUGAAGAAGGCCUUCGGGUUGUAAAGUUCUUUCGGUAGCGAGGAAGGUGGUAAUGUUAAUAGCAUUAUCAAUUGACGUUAACUACAGAAGAAGCACCGGCUAACUCCGUGCCAGCAGCCGCGGUAAUACGGAGGGUGCGAGCGUUAAUCGGAAUAACUGGGCGUAAAGGGCACGCAGGCGGUUGAUUAAGUGAGAUGUGAAAGCCCCGGGCUUAACCUGGGGAUUGCAUUUCAUACUGGUCAACUAGAGUACUUUAGGGAGGGGUAGAAUUCCACGUGUAGCGGUGAAAUGCGUAGAGAUGUGGAGGAAUACCGAAGGCGAAGGCAGCCCCUUGGGAAUGUACUGACGCUCAUGUGCGAAAGCGUGGGGAGCAAACAGG